GCCCUUCCCAAGACCUCUCGAAGGCCUUAUAUUCGGAAGUGCCGGGCAACCGGCUAUGGCGCUAAACGCCCUGCAGAAUAAACAUUGCGGACCCGGGGGCGGUACCCGGCGCCUCCACCAUUUUCCGGCCCCUGGGCCGGUUUCGGGGGCGAAACAGGAUCGACGCGUGUGGUAAAGGCAUGGUUUGUGCUCGGCAUGGUUCCGCCGUUAUCGGGCCGUUUCACAAGAGCCAACGACAACGAGGCUCUCGCCAUUGCUGCGUAACCGACGCCCCUAACGGGGCAUGGUUAUAAGCUUUAGCGCGGUCCGGGGGGCACCGGGCAACAGAAGCCCCCCACU
rnacentral:tmRNA from 1 species